rnacentral:rRNA from 1 species
UACGUAGGGUGCAAGCGUUUAUCCGGAAUUAUUGGGCGUAAAGAGCUCGUAGGCGGUUUGUCGCGUCUGCUGUGAAAACUGGAGGCUCAACCUCCAGCCUGCAGUGGGUACGGGGCAAACUAGAGUGCGGUAGGGGAGAUUGGAAUUCCUGGUGUAGCGGUGGAAAUGCGCAGAUAUCAGGAGGAACACCGAUGGCGAAGGCAGAAUCUCUGGGCCGUAACUGACGCUGAGGAGCGAAAGCAUGGGUAGCGAACAGG